rnacentral:rRNA from 1 species
AUCCGGGUUGAUCCUGCCAGAGGUCACUGCUAUUGGGAUUCGAUUAAGCCAUGCGAGUUUAAUGGCUGCCUAGCAAUAGGUAGCCAUGGCGUACGGCUCAGUAAAACAUGAAUAAUCUGCCCUUGAGGGGGGGAUAAGCUCGGGAAAUUGAGCAUAAUACCCCAUAGGCCUGAAAAACUGGAACGUUUUCAGGCUAAAAGCGUUUAGCGCUCAAGGAUGAGUUCAUGACCUAUCAGGUAGUAGCAAGUGUAAAGUACUUGCUAGCCUACGACGGGUACGGGUCUUGGGAGAGAGAGCCCGGAGAUGGAUUCUGAGACACGAAUCCAGGCCCUACGGGGCGCAGCAGGCGCGAAAACUUCGCAAUGCACGAAAGUGCGACGAGGGAAUCCCAAGUGUCAGUGCAUUUUGUACUGACUGUUCUCUAGUCUAAAUAGCUGGAGGAGUAAGGGCUGGGUAAGACGGGUGCCAGCCGCCGCGGUCACACGUGGUUAUUCAGUGCCGGAGAGAAGUUGUUAAGCUAGCUACCUGGGAAGUACGGUCGCAAGGCUGAAACUUAAAGGAAUGG